rnacentral:RNase_P_RNA from 1 species
CGAGCCGGCCGGGCGACCGCGGCAGCGCGGGCCUAGCCCGCGCGGUCGAGGAAAGUCCGGACUCCACAGGGCAGGGCGGUUGCCAACAGCAACCCGGGGAGACCCGCGGGAAAGUGCCACAGAAAACAGACCGCCCGGCGUGAGCCGGGUAAGGGUGAAACGGUGGUGCAAGAGACCACCAGCACCCCGGGUGACCGGGGUGGCUCGGUAAACCCCGCCCGGAGCAAGGUCAAGAGGGCACCGUGCUUUCGGUGCCUGCGCAGGUGUUCGAGGGUGGCCCGCCCGAGACCUGCGGGUGGACCGCUGGAGCCCGUCGGUGACGGCGGGCCAAGAUGGAUGGUCGCCGAGUGGGUGCGCCGCGAGGCCCCCACGAACAGGAUCCGGCUUACAGGCCGACUCGUCCG